UACGAAGGGGGGCUAGCGUUGUUCGGAAUUACUGGGCGUAAAGCGCACGUAGGCGGAUCGAUCAGUCAGGGGGUGAAAUCCCAGAGCUCAACUCUGGAACUGCCUUUUGAUACUGUCGAUCUGGAGUAUGGAAGAGGUGAGUGGAAUUCCGAGUGUAGAGGUGAAAUUCGUAGAUAUUCGGAGGAACACCAGUGGCGAAGGCGGCUCACUGGUCCAUUACUGACGCUGAGGUGCGAAAGCGUGGGGAGCAAACAGG
rnacentral:rRNA from 1 species